GAUGAACGCUGGCGGCGUGCUUAACACAUGCAAGUCGAACGAAGCAUUAUGAAUGACGUGCUCGGAUGGAGUUCAUUUUGACUGAGUGGCGGACGGGUGAGUAACGCGUGGGUAACCUGCCUUAUACAGGGGGCUAACAGUUGGAAACGACCGCUAAUACCGCAUAACCCGCUAGUACCGCAUGGUACGGACGGAAAAGAUGUAUCGGUAUAAGGUGGAACCGCGUCUGAUUAGCUAGUUGGUGAGGGAAUGGCUCACCAAGGCGACGGUCAGUAGCCGACUUGAGAGAGUGAUCGGCCACAUUGGGACUGAGACACGGCCCAAACUCCUACGGGAGGCAGCAGUGGAGAAUAUUGCACAAUGGGCGAAAGCCUGAUGCAGCGACGCCGCGUGAGUGAAGAAGUAUUUCGGUAUGUAAAGCUCUAUCAGCAGGGAAGAUAAUGACGGUACCUGACUAAGAAGCCCCGGCUAACUACGUGCCAGCCGCCGCGGUAACAC
rnacentral:rRNA from 1 species